GGAUAACUACCGAAUGUGGAAAGCUGCAAGUCUCUCCUGGUGAAAUUGUUGUAUUACCUCAAGGGUUCCGUUUUGCUGUAGAUUUGCCAGAUGGCCCGUCACGUGGUUAUGUUGCUGAGAUUUUUGGUGCCCAUUUUCAGCUUCCUGAUCUUGGGCCAAUAGGUGCUAAUGGCCUUGCUGCUUCAAGGGAUUUUCUUGUUCCCAAGGCCUGGUUUGAGGAGGGUUCUUGUCCUGGAUACACUAUCAUACAAAAGUUUGGUGGAGAACUAUUUACUGCAAAACAGGAUUUUUCUCCCUUCAAUGUAGUUGCCUGGCAUGGUAAUUAUGUUCCAUAUAAAUAUGAUCUCAAAAAGUUUUGCCCCUAUAAUACUGUUUUGAUUGAUCAUAGUGAUCCAUCAAUAAACACAGUUCUGACAGCACCAACUGAUAAGCCUGGAGUGGCAUUGCUUGAUUUUGUCAUUUUUCCUCCCCGGUGGUUGGUUGCCGAGCAUACUUUCCGACCUCCAUAUUACCAUCGCAAUUGUAUGAGUGAAUUUAUGGGCCUGAUUUAUGGUGCAUACGAGGCAAAAGCUGAUGGUUUCCUCCCAGGUGGUGCAAGUCUUCAUAGCUGCAUGACUCCACAUGGUCCUGAUACGAAGACAUAUGAGACUACCAUUGGACGCGGGAAUGAUGCAGUCCCAUAUAAAAUCACCAAUACAAUGGCUUUCAUGUUUGAAUCAUGUUUAAUCCCCAGAAUCUGCCUGUGGGCAGUUGAGUCCCCAUUUGUGGAUCGUGAUUAUUACCAGUGUUGGAUUGGACUCAAAUCCCAUUUUUCACAUGGAGCAGAUCCUAAGAGCAAUGGUAUAUAAAAUGGACAUCAGGGAAAUUGAAAGUAACGUGGCUCAAUUUGGUCAUCAAACAUAAAUCUUGGGCGUGAGCUCUGCUGCUCAAUUGUCCAGCAUGUAUGCACAUAAAGCAAUAAUAAGAAAGGAAUAGAAAUAUAUAUUCAAGUUGGCAAACAUUGAAAUAGUAAGCUUCUGUAUUUGUAAUUAGUCGACUGAGCCAUGAAUAUUG
rnacentral:misc_RNA from 1 species